UGACAGUACUCCUACGGGGAGGCAGCAGUCGGGGGAAUAUUGCACAAUGGGCGCAAGCCUGAUGCAGCCAUGCCGCGUGUGUGAAGAAGGCCUUCGGGUUGUAAAGCACUUUCAGUCGUGAGGAAGGUAGUGUAGUUAAUAGCUGCAUUAUUUGACGUUUAGCGACAGAAGAAGCACCGGCUAACUCCGUGCCAGCAGCCGCGGUAAUACGGAGGGUGCGAGCGUUAAUCGGAAUUACUGGGCGUAAAGCGCAUGCAGGUGGUUUGUUAAGUUCAGAUGUGAAAGCCCGGGGCUCAACCUCGGAAUAGCAUUUGAAACUGGCAGACUAGAGUACUGUAGAGGGGGGUAGGAAUUUCAGGUGUAGCGGUGAAAUGCGUAGAGAUCUGAAGGAAUACCGGUGGCGAAGGCGGCCCCCCUGGACAGAUACUGACACUCAGAUGCGAAAGCGUGGGGAGCAAACAGGAUUAGAUACCCCUGGUAG
rnacentral:rRNA from 1 species